GUAACUGACAAAUUAGCAAGUCUCUGUGACGGUACUCCUAAAGGGGAAGUCGAUGGCCCAAUGCAGUCGACCUUCCUGAUUGUGGAAGAGCAAAGCGUGGCUAGCGGACAGUAUGUGGGGCUGUGUCUGCUACCAUCCGGGCACCAAGCUCCCCAACCUGGAACAGCAGUUUACCACUCUUGUUCCUAGAUGCCCCAGGAUAACCCAAGGCUUGCGUGGACACCAGUAGGAAACAGAC
rnacentral:lncRNA from 1 species